CUACUCGGUGAAGUCUGUGUUGCCACCGCAGACUAAGUCGGUGAACAGCGUCUCAUCUUUCUUCCUGUGCUGCGCUACACACGAAAGCGUCGACAGUCUUUGACCUGGUCAAGGGCGAGGCCACGGGUUCGCCCUGUGUGUCCACUUUCAAAACGAGUCCAACUCAGUGGGCAGGUGUUCGGCCACCUAUCUUUCUUGCGUACACGAAAGCGCAAAAAAAGACAAAAAAGGAAAAGCCACAACAGCAGACGGACGCACAGGGAUGAAUCAGACAAGUAUGGAGGAGCUCCUCGCUGCCAACGCGGAUGCCGCCCAGGAACUCCGCGGCGUUGCCGUGCUGGAUGUGCCUGCCUUCGACCCUGAUGGGCCUCCUCGGACGUUCAUCAGCAACAGAAGUAGCAGCAGUGCGAUGAUGUCCGAGGCGAUGCGACGACGCGCGAACGUGUUGUGGCGAGCCCUGUACCCGCGCACUGCGCCACCCACCACCGCCGCCGUCGCGACGUCCUCCAAGAACGGCGUCGGAGCAGAUGCCGCUACGCAGACCGAUCCUCCCUGCCACGAUGUAGUGCGUCAAGGUAUCGUGACCGUGGUUAGCAACACGUCGGGUGAAGCGACCAGCAAGCCUUCUGCGUCAGCGAGCAGCGGCAUGCUGACGCAUAAGCGGGCUCGCGACGGUGACGACAUUGUCUCGGUGAAUCCGGAGCAGCUAAAGGCCCGCAGCGCUCUUGUGGUGUCGAAGGCCGCCGCGGAGGAGGCGGAGGCGCGGAAGUACUCUCCCCCGCCAAAGUGGAGGCUCGCAAAGGUGCUUGUGGGCCAUCAAGGCUGGGUCUGGGCGACGGCUGUAGAGCCUGGCAACAAGUGGUUUGCGACCGGCAGCUUUGAUGCCAUUAUCAAGGUAUGGGAUCUCGAAACAGGGGUGCUCAAGAUGAACUUGACGGGGCACAAGGAGGCCGUUCGGUCUAUCUCGCUCAGUAAGGUGUCUCCGUACAUGUUCAGCGGCAGCGACGACCACUCCGUAAAGUGCUGGGAUCUCGAGCGCAACGAGGUGGUGCGCGAGUUCUUUGGACACAAGAGCGCAGUGCACUGCGUUGCAGCUCAUCCAUCAUUGGAUGUGGUCAUUAGUGGCGGCCGCGACAAGACGGUGCGCGUCUUUGACCUGCGCUCGCGGGCCGUCGUGCACACGAUGUUGGGACACACGGACAGCGUGAUGUCGCUGGUGGUGCAGCAGGAGGAGCCUCAGGUGAUCUCCGGUGGUAGCGACGGGUUCAUCUACCUAUGGGAUUUGGCGUCUGGCAAACCGCUUCAGCGGCUCACGCGUCACAAGAAGCCGGUACGUGGACUGGCCUUCACCGCCGCCGGCGACGCGCUCGUGUCGUGUGGUGCCGACGAGGUGCGUGUAUGGAAGCUGCCAUCAGGCCACUUUGUCACGAACGCCAGCACGCGCGUCCUUGAUGGCCACAAAAGCAGGCCUGCUACAAGCGCAUCCGCCGGUGGCGCUGACGAGGUGGGGGAGUACUCGUACCGGUGGAGCUGCUGUGCAGUGAGCCCACGCAAUGUCUUGGCAGUCGGCAGUCAAGAUGGCGAAUUGGCGUUUUAUGAUUGGAACAUUCCGCAACCGAGGCGGGUGGCGGGGCGGCACUACGCGCCGUAUCAGUGGGCGAAAACAAAGUCGCUGCCAGGGACGCUGCAUGGUGAGGGCGGCAUCAAUGCCCUCACCUACGACGUCUCGGGCACUCGCCUCAUCACGGCAGAGAGCGACAAGAGCGUGAAGAUAUGGCGGAUGCGCGACUAAAAUGAGACACCAUGUGCGUGCGCGCGCGCGCAUGCGUCUGUGAAGCUGUUGUCCAUCUGCGCUUCUGUUUGUUGCCUGUGCAAACGCGGGCAGUGCCAUGGUGCCAGCUCCGGAAGCGAAAAGUCGUGCUGAUCGUAGUAGGUCGUCUCUUAACAGCAGAGGCGACUCCCAGGCUUCUCCUCUCCCACACAAACGCACAC
rnacentral:misc_RNA from 1 species